rnacentral:rRNA from 1 species
GGAAACGGGGUCUAAUACCGGAUAUGACAUCCUCCCGCAUGGGAAGGGUGUGGAAAGCUCCGGCGGUGCAGGAUGAGCCCGCGGCCUAUCAGCUUGUUGGUGGGGUGAUGGCCUACCAAGGCGACGACGGGUAGCCGGCCUGAGAGGGCGACCGGCCACACUGGGACUGAGACACGGCCCAGACUCCUACGGGAGGCAGCAGUGGGGAAUAUUGCACAAUGGGCGAAAGCCUGAUGCAGCGACGCCGCGUGAGGGAUGACGGCCUUCGGGUUGUAAACCUCUUUCAGCAGGGAAGAAGCGAAAGUGACGGUACCUGCAGAAGAAGCACCGGCUAACUACGUGCCAGCAGCCGCGGUAAUACGUAGGGUGCGAGCGUUGUCCGGAAUUAUUGGGCGUAAAGAGCUCGUAGGCGGCCUGUCACGUCGGAUGUGAAAGCCCGGGGCUUAACCCCGGGUCUGCAUUCGAUACGGGCAGGCUAGAGUUCGGUAGGGGAGAUCGGAAUUCCUGGU